GGAGAGGUACCGAAGUGGUCAUAACGGAGCCGCCUCGAAAGCGGAUGGGGUGUCAAAACCCACGAGGGUUCGAAUCCCUCCCUCUCCGCCA
rnacentral:tRNA from 1 species